rnacentral:rRNA from 1 species
UACAGAGACUGCAAGCGUUACUCGGAUUCACUGGGCGUAAAGGGAGCGCAGGCGGACCGGUGUGUCAGAUGUGAAACCCCAGGGCUCAACCCUGGGACUGCGUCUGAAACUGCCGGUCUAGGGACUCGGAGGGGCUAGUGGAAUUCCUGGUGGAGCAGUGAAAUGCGUAGAGAUCCGGAGGAACACCAAAGGCGAAGGCAGUGUCCUGGGGAGUACCUGACGCUCAGGUGCGAAAGCCAGGGGAGCGAACGGG